rnacentral:rRNA from 1 species
UACGUAGGUGGCAAGCGUUGUCCGGAUUUACUGGGCGUAAAGAGCGCGCAGGCGGUUGAUUAAGUCGAAUGUGAAAGCCCCCGGCUCAACUGGGGAGGGUCAUUCGAUACUGAUUGACUUGAAGGCAGGAGAGAGAAGUGGAAUUUCCGGUGUAGCGGUGAAAUGCGUAGAUAUCGUUUGGAACGCCAAUGGUGAAAACAAGUAGCUGGGAGUGUGCCGACGCUGAGACACGAAAGCCAGGGGAGCGAACGGG